rnacentral:lncRNA from 1 species
UUCCUUUAGGCUUCGUUUGGUUCGUGAAUUAGUAGGAACUAGUUAUAUGGGGGAUAGAUACAAGUAUGAAUUUUUAUAAGAAUAAGGGUAUUUUUUUGUUUGCAUGAAAAUGUGAGUAUAAGCUGGAACUAGAAAAAUUGUGUUUGGAUAGUUAUUGGGAAUAAGAAAAAUAGUUGAUGGUUAUAAAUAGAAAAUAAUGAUAUUACCCCUAUAAUUAAAUUUAAAUUUUUAAAUUUUAAACUUAUAAUUUUAAAUUGAAAAUUUUAACUGUCACGUCCCGGAUUACACAAUUUCUGGGCACGUUGACAAAUCCGCCGUAUACAAAGAAUUUUUCCUGUAUACGAAGUGUAUCGGUAACUGAAAAUAUACAAUACUACAACCAGUAGUAUAGAGCUGUAAAGAAACCAAACAGGUAGAAUAAAAACAAGUCUCACAUACAUACAACAAAACGCUAUACAAAGAUACUCGCUCCAGCGAGUUAUAACAACUGCAUGUACAUGAACUCAACAAAAUAAAUCGAAACUACCUGCAGUGGUGGAUCCUCUAUCUCAGCAACUCGUCGGGUAGAGCUCUAACUCGCAACGCCCUUACCUCGAUCAGCCUCGGAAGGCGCAGCAAUUGAAACCGGUGGCUCUGCAAAACAGUGGUAACAACUGAGCGUAAGAACUACUGUAAAAACAAAUAGUCCUCAGUGGGUACCGCCCUCAACAUCAUCGGCCCACCCAUUAAGACUACAGUCAGAAACAAACUAGUAGUUAAAGCUGGAAAGAAAUCUACAGCUACCUGCCACUACACUAUAUCCAACUGUAGUAACUGUCAAAUCUGACCCAAUCUCAAUAGGGACUGUGAACACACCCGUCCCUGGGACUGUGAACGCACCCGUCCCGCCUGUCUAAGCCACGCUACCUCCACGCAAAACAGUCCGUGGAUAGCAAAACUAGUAGUCCGUGAAUAGCAAAACUAGUCAGUGACAUCAACGGGAAAGCACAAAGCCAAACUCCGGAGCAGCAACUCGUGGGCGCGACCCAACCGAGUAUGCAAGCGUAUCUCUGUCAAGCUCAAUCAGGCUCUCACAGGCUAAAGUCAAGAAAAUAAGUCCAAUUGGCUACUAACCACUAGUCACGUGCCCUCGGCACAAUCGGAUCUCAAAAUGACCAAAUCCGGGUUCACCGUCAACCGCGACGGCACCCAUUAGUCCGGAACAGUCUAAACACUACUGUAAAAAUAGACUCGGCAUCCUAGCAUGAGUGUAACAGUAAAUUAGACUAUCUGGGGUACUCACCACGAGAAUACUGCAACUGUAUAAAAGUACAACGGCCCCUAAGGCUAAAUCAGGUAGUUUAACAUAUGACAGAUUCCGAACACUGAUUUUCUCCUAUGUUUUAUCCAAGUCCAACAUGUAUAAUUAAUAACAACAGUAACAUGCUCCCAAUUCAAUAUAUAGGCCUAGAACAAUGCAUAAACAUGAAUCUGAGCUAAACAGUACCAACGCAGAUAUCCUAACUAUACAUGUUGACUAACAAGGCUAUAGGAGUAGAAAUCCGAUGAUAAACCCACCUUGAAUGCUAAAUCCACUCCGGCGCGACGUUGAGAACGGCGAAACCAUGCCCUCGCCCGAACUCCUUGCGAUGCUACGUCUGCAACCGUAUCCUCGAACGGCUCCGCGGCGCGACGUCGACGUUGAAUGUCAUCGAUGAAAUUAGAAUGUCAUCGAUGAAGACUACUACAAAUCUAUCCAAGAACGGCUUGAACACCCUGUUCAUCAAAUCCAUGAAUGCGGCAGGGGCAUUCGUCAAUCCAAAAGGCAUGACCGUAAACUCAUAAUGCCCGUACCGAGUCCGAAAAGCCGUCUUGGAAACAUCCUCGGCCCUCACCCUCAGUUGGUGGUAACCGGACUGAAGAUCAAUCUUCGAGAAGACGAAGGAUCCCUGCAAUUGAUCAAACAAAUCAUCAAUGCGCGGCAGUGGAUACUUGUUCUUGAUGGUCACUUUAUUCAGCUCCCGAUAAUCUACGCACAACCUGAGUGACCCAUCCUUUUUCUGUACAAAUAAUACCGGCACUCCCCAAGGCGAUACACUGGGUCUCACAUACCCCUUAUCCAUCAGAUCUUGAAGCUGCGCCUUUAGCUCUCUCAGCUCCGCCGGUGCCAUCCGAUAAGGUACCUUUGAGAUUGGUGCAGUUUCAGGAACUACAUCAAUCACAAACUCAAUCUCCCUCUCCGGUGGCAACGUCGUAAACUCAAGGGGAAACACAUCUGGAAACUCGCGGACUACAGGAAUAUCCUCGAGUCCCGGCGCCGCCGUAGGUACCUCUAUCACCGUCGCCAAAAAUGCGAUGCAUCCUCUACUCAUCAGCUGUCGAGCCCUCGCCGAAGAAAUCCAAGUAGCAAACAACGUGCUCCUGCAGCCCCUAAAAGUAAACUCCUCCUGGCCUGGCUCACGGAAUGUCACUGUCCUCGCUCCACAAUCAAUCCUAGCAAAGUACCGGGCCAACCAAUCCAUACCGAGCACAACGUCGAAGUCCUGCAGCUGCCCUAAAACCAACAGGUCUGCUGGCAUGAUCCACAAAUCCAACUGCACUGGACACGACCAACAACACUCCGCAACCUGUAAAACAUGGUCUGGGAUCUGCACCUCUCGUGUCUGAGACAAAGCUCCUAACUCUAGACCAUGCAAUAAUGCAAAUGCUCGGCUAACAAACGAAUGAGAUGCACUGGUAUCAAAGAGAGUACGAAUUCUAAUGCUAGAAAUCGAAGUGAUACCUGCCACCACUCGGUCGGCCGCUGUAGAGUCCUCCACCUGGGCUGCAUAGACUCUGCCACUCGGAGCCUGCUGUCGCCGCUCACCCUGACGCGGCGCAGAUGCCCUGUCCUCCUAGCGGUAGCUCUGCGGUGCUCCAAAAGACUACUAAGGUGCUGCCGGUGCUAAAGCUAUCGAGGGUGCUGGUGAUGCUGCUCGGGGACAAGCUGAUCUCAUGUGCCCUGACUGUCCGCAUCUAAAACACCGACCCUCACGCUGCUCGCACUGCCGGGCCCAGUGUGGUCCCCCACAUAUCACGCACGGUAGUAACCCCUGUGACUGCCUCUGCUGCCGGGGUCCCCCAGAACGCUGACGCCCCGAGAACCCACGACUCUGAGAACGUGAUCGUGGAGGUCUCGACGGACGCCGGCUGCUCGACUGUCCACCAUCGUCUGGAGCUGGGCGCUUCCUAUCCUGACUCUGCCCCACGGCCUGAGUCCUCUCCUGCAGUGACACCUCACCUCUCUCCACCCACAAGGCCUGCUCUAUGGACGCAUCCAGAGUCCUCGACCUCUGCGUCCGUGCCAACCUGAAAAUGUCGGGUCUCAGCCCCUAUUCAAACAAAUAGACCCUGUGUGCCUCGUCUCUGGCCACAAAUGGCACACAGUUCAGGAGUCGAGUAAACUCCCGAAUGUACUCCUGCACUGGACGAUCCCCCUGCUGAAUCCUCUUCAAAUCCUCCUCGAGCUUUUGUUUCACACUGUUGGGAAAGAACAUCCCAAACAGUAUUCCACAGAACUCAUCCCAUCUCAACUGCAACGCUACCAGUCCCUGCUCUCUCCUCACUCUCCUCCACCAGGCAUGGGCAUCACCUGCCAAGCACCGGACUCCCAAAGACACCUGCUCCCCCUCAGGAAUGAACAGAUCCUCAAAUAACUUCUCCAUCGCACUGACCCAUCCCUCAACAACCCAGGCCUCAGUGCAACUGCCAUCGAAAAUCAGUGGAUCAAAACGGCGGAAAUGAGCCAAUCUCUCCGUCCACCGCUCCUGCUUGGCCUCUGUCAACUGUACUGGCCCCCUAGCAGGCGCAACUGGCGCUAUUAGAAUUGCUGCUGGCGGAGGGACUUUUGCAGCUGGUACUGUCACUGGGGUAGUCGAAGGUGGAACAGACGACUCUGGUGCCCUCGGUGCUGAACUCUGGGGCGAAGCUAACCUCUCGCACAUCCUCUCCAACAACUCCCCUUGCCGCCUCGUCACCUCUGUCAGUGCGGCUAACUGAGCACUCAAGUCGAGGGAUGCGCUCGCCUCUGGUCGUGUACUCUGCUCCUGCCGGGCACUCGGCUCUGCCUGCUCAGGCAUCUCGGAGGGUCCACACGAUCCUGUGUCAACUGUGCCCGGUCCCGUGUCGACGGUCGGCCUCGACGACGAUACAUAGCUGCAGUAAUAGAACAGGGUCAGCUAACACAAAUACUCUUGACCCUUGACCCAAUCCACAAAAGUCCGGAAGGCAGCCCCUGUUUCUCCUCAAAAUUAUGUCGUCUGCAGCCAACAUAAUUUUGCAGGCCAGAACAGACACUCCUCCAAUCACUCACUCCCCUCAGGGUGAGUUUAAAUCACGCCUCUCCCGUCUUGCUUUCCUAAGGUUUGCCAAACUUAGGUUUCCUAGGUCCCAAUGACCUAAAACCAAGCUCUGAUACCAACUUAAUCUGUCACGCUCCGGAUUACACAAUUCCCGGGCACGUCGACAAAUCCGCCGUAUACAAAGAAUUUUUCCUGUAUACGAAGCGUAUCGGUAACUGAAAAUAUACAAUACUACAACCAGUAGUAUAGAGCUGUAAAGAAACCAAACAGGUAGAAUAAAAACAAGUCUCACAUACAUACAACAAACGCUAUACAAAGAUACUCGCUCCAGCGAGUUAUAACAACUGUAUGUACAUGACUCAACAAAAUAAACCGGAACUACCUGCAGUGGUGGAUCCUCUAUCUCAGCAACUCGUAGGGUAGGGCUUAAACUCGCAACGCCCUUACCUCGAUCAGCCUCGGAAGGCGCAGUAACUGAAACCGGUGGCUCUGCAAAACAGUGGUAACAACUGGGCGUGAGAACUAUUAUAAAAACAAGUAGUCCUCAGUGGGUACCGUCCUCAACAUCAUCGGCCCACCCAUUAAGAUUACAGUCAGAAACAAACUAGUAGUUAAAGCUCGAAAGAAAUCUACAGCUACUUGCCACUACACUAUCCAACUGUAGUAACUGUCAAAUUUGACCAAAUCUCAAUAGGGACUGUGAACACACCCGUCCCGGGGAUUGUGAAUGCACCCGUCCCGCCUGUCUAAGCCACGCUACCUCCAUACAAAACAGUCCGUGGAUAGCAAAACUAGUCAGUGACAUCAACGCGAAAGCACAAAGCCAAACUCUGGAGCAGCAACUCGUGGGCGCGACCCAACCGAGUAUGCAAGCGUAUCUCUGUCGAGCUCAAUCAGGCUCUCACAGACUAAAGUCAAGAAAAUAAGUCCAAUUGGCUACUAACCACUAGUCACGUGCCCUCGGCACAAUCGGAUCUCAAAAUGACCAAAUCCGGGUCCACCGUCAACCGCGACGGCACCCACUAGUCCGGAACAGUCUAAACACUACUGUAAAAAUGGAUUCGGCAUCCUAGCACGAGUGUAACAGUAAAUUAGACUACCUAGGGUACUCACCACGAGAACACUGCAAUUGUAUAAAAGUACAACGGCCCCUAAGGCUAAAUCAGGUUGUUUAACAUAUGACAGGUUCCGAACACUGGUUUUCUCCUAUGUUUUAUCCAAGUCCAACAUGUAUAAUUAAUAACAACAGUAACAUGCUCCCAAUUCAAUAUAUAGGCCUAGAACAAUGCAUAAACAUGAAUCUGAGCUAAACAGUACCAAUGCAGAUAUCCUAACUAUAUAUGUUGACUAACAAGGCUAUAGGAGUAGAAAUCCGAUGAUAAACCCACUUGAAUGCUAAAUCCACUCCGGCGCGACGUUGAGAACGGCGAAACCACGCCCUCGCCCGAACUCCUUGCGAUGCUACGUCUGCAACCGUAUCCUCGAACGGCUUCACGGCGUGACGUCGACGUCGAAUCCGAGCUCCGCGGCUACUCCGCCGAGCUCCACCUCGUGUGGCUCUCUACUUCACAUUAAAGAGAUAAAGCAAAUUUUAAUUAGAGCACUCUCAAGC